rnacentral:rRNA from 1 species
GACGAACGCUGGCGGCGUGCCUAAUACAUGCAAGUUGAGCGCUGAAGGUUGGUACUUGUACGAACUGGAUGAGCAGCGCACGGGUGUGUAACGCGUGGAGAAUCUGCCUUUGAGCGGGGGACAACAUUUGGAAACGAAUGCUAAUACCGCAUAAAAACUUUAAACACAAGUUUUAAGUUUGAAAGAUGCAAUUGCAUCACUCAAAGAUGAUCCCGCGUUGUAUUAGCUAGUUGGUGAGGUAAAGGCUCACCAAGGCGAGGUAGCAGAGCCGACCGGAGAGGGCGGGCAGCCACCUUGGGACGGUGACACGCCCCAAACGGCUUCGGGAGGCGGCAGUAGGGAAUCGUCGGCAAUGGGCGAAAGUCUGACCGAGCAACGCGGCGGGAGGGAAGAAGGAUUUCGGAUCGUAAAACACGGUUGUUGGAGAAUAACGUGCGUGAGAGUGGAAAGAUCAGCAAGUGACGGUAACGACCCAGAAAGCAACGGCUAACUACGUG